GGGGAUUUAGCUCAGCGGCAUAAGCGCCUGCCUUGCAAGCAGGUGGUCGUGAGUUCAAUCCCUG
rfam:Cavia porcellus supercont2_7 genomic scaffold, whole genome shotgun sequence.